ensembl:lncRNA
GGCCCAUCAGUUAUACUACAAGUCAUCCAGGGCUUGAAACAGCAGAGCUGCAUCAGACCAUCAUACUACCACCACCAUGUUCGACUGUUGGUAUGAUUUUCUUUUGUUGAGAUGCUGUGUUAGCUUUAUGCCAGAUGUAAUGGGACACAAAGCUUCUAAGAAAUGCAAAUGUUGUGUGGUCAAACCACAGAAUCUUUCCCCAGAAGUCUUCAAGAUCAUCAAGAUUAUUUUUGGUAAAUGUGAGAUGAGUCUUUGUACUCUUUUUGGUCAGCAGUAAUUUUCUCCCAUGGAUGCUAUUUUUGCCCAUUUUUGUCUCCUUUUUAUUGCUGAAUCAUAAGCACUAAAUUUAACUGAGGCAAGUGAGGCCUGAAGUUCUUUAGACAUUGUUCUGGGUUCUUUUAUAACCUCCUAGAUGAGUCAUCAGUGCAUUCUUGGAGAUAUUUUGGUAGACUCCUCCUUUUGGAAAGGUUCACCCACUAUUCCAAGUUUCACUGUGAUUCGCUGGAGUCCUGAAGCCUGAGAAAUAGCUUUAUAACCUUUUCCACACUGAUAGAUGUCAAUCACUUUGUUUCUCAGCUGUUUGUGGCAUGAUAUGUUGGGUUGUUUUUUUUUUUUUUUUUUUAAAUCUUUCAAUUCCUUAGUUUCUGUGUUUUUUGAAUUUUAGUAAGAAGUCUUGUUUUUUUUCUUGUAUAUCCUUACUAUUGACAAUAAUCUCCCUAGUGUUCCUGUUCGUGCCUCGCUCUGCGUUCCCUGUCACUGACUUCUUGAGUCGUAUUAUUUAGGUCUGUGUUCCGGAUAGUUUUCCUGUUUUACUUGUUACUUGUUAAUUUUCUGUUGCUUCAUGUGUUAGCUCUGUCAUUCCCUGAUUGCUUUCACCUGUUGUUCAUUACUUCCACCUGUGUCUUCUUCCUCAGCUGUUUGCCAUCCCCAAUCAGUUCUCAGUUCUUUUGUCAGUUUGUCCUUGAUAUGUUUUCUGCUCGUUCCCUGGAGUUUCUGGAUUUUUAGUUUAUUGCUACUUUUAGGACAUUUACAAACAACCUAAUACAGGAAUUGUUUUUUUUAGUGAUUGGAAAAGCUUCGGGUUUUGUGAAAAGCUGAAACAUUUGAUGCAACUGUGCCAGAAAAACAAUCUGACAUCCAUCUCCACAGUGACACCUACUGGCUACUUUUGCAAUGGUCAUAUCUUGAUAAUGCUAUUCUUUGAAACAAAGACAUAGACACAGUUUCCAAAUGAAGCU